GUGAGGAACAGAAGCUUUCAAGGCUAACUAUGGUUCACCAUGCUCUCUUUCCACUUUGCUGCAAAGGAUGGCAAUGCCCCAUCCAGAAACCGCGCUGCCAGCCUGGCACUAGAGUAAAGGAAAGUGGAACUGACUCAUGACAUGCAUAAAGCGUGAGAGAGAAAUGAACUUGACUGUGAUGCACGAGGCCUCUGGAACCAUGGAAUCAUGUGUUACUGCAGCAUAAACCAGCUGAUCUUGGCUUCUCCAGCCUUUGCCUCUCUGCCCCGGCUUUACCAGCUCAAAAUCAGGAAUCUCAUCUUACUCAUAUUACAGGGCGGACCUUCAGCCCAUGUUCUUUGAAUGGCUGAUGAUGUUAAUAGGUUCUAGAAGAUUCUGGAAGCUUCCCUAACAUCAGCUGCAGGAUCCCAGCAGAGGGGCUGAACUGACAACAAUUCCUACUUCUGGUGACCUGAAACUUUGACAUGGCCUGGGCUUCUUCCCGGCUUUCCCAACUUCUGCUUUGGCUGGAGGCUCCAGCUUCCUCCCCUUCUGAUGAUGGACAUAGGGCAAGGCUGGGCCUCCAGAAGGAUAAACACCAUCGGCCAAAUGUUUUUAAAAUGAAGGUUUAUGAGAAGAUGAAUGACAGGGUGAGUAACUGGGAUUCUGGAAGAAUAAUCCAGCAGCAAUGGAGACUGGCUGCAGUCCCUGACUCCAAGGGCCCCUGGGCCAUUCAGUUUCAACCAUGACCUGUAGCCCUGGGCACCAAAGAUGAGAAAGAGCACCCAGAGAGCAUCCCUCAUAUAUUGGUAGGAUUGAAGCCAUCUCAAAGAAGGCAGCCAAGGAGCUGCAGAAAAGAUUCACUUCCGGGAACAAAAGGUCAGUUGGUUCUUCCUGGUUCACCCUCUGCAGACAAUCAGGCAUCUGAAGCCCCUUUUCUAAAGCUUCCUGCGCUCUCCAGCUUUUCUUUCCAGCAAUAAACACUUGGAAAUUGUAUUUCGACAUUUCUUGAA